AGACGGUACCUGCAGAAGAAGCGCCGGCUAACUACGUGCCAGCAGCCGCGGUAAUACGUAGGGCGCAAGCGUUAUCCGGAUUUAUUGGGCGUAAAGAGCUCGUAGGCGGUUUGUCGCGUCUGCCGUGAAAGUCCGAGGCUCAACCUCGGAUCUGCGGUGGGUACGGGCAGACUAGAGUGAUGUAGGGGAGACUGGAAUUCCUGGUGUAGCGGUGAAAUGCGCAGAUAUCAGGAGGAACACCGAUGGCGAAGGCAGGUCUCUGGGCAUCUACUGACGCUGAGGAGCGAAAGCAUGGGGAGCGAACAGGAUUAGAUACCCUGGUAGUCCAUGCCGUAAACGUUGGGCACUAGGUGUGGGGAACAUUCCACGUUUUCCGCGCCGUAGCUAACGCAUUAAGUGCCCCGCCUGGGGAGUACGGCCGCAAGGCUAAAACUCAAAGGAAUUGACGGGGGCCCGCACAAGCGGCGGAGCAUGCGGAUUAAUUCGAUGCAACGCGAAGAACCUUACCAAGGCUUGACAUGUUCCAGACCGCCUCAGAGAUGGGGUUUCCCUUCGGGGCUGGUUCACAGGUGGUGCAUGGUUGUC
rnacentral:rRNA from 1 species